rnacentral:rRNA from 1 species
GCAAGUCGAGGGGUAACAGGGGUGCUUGCACUCGCUGACGACCGGCGCACGGGUGCGUAACGCGUAUAGAAUCUACCUUUUACAGGGGGAUAGCCUUUAGAAAUGAAGAUUAAUAUCCCAUAGUAUUGUGACUUGGCAUCGAGUUAUAAUUAAAGAUUUAUCGGUAAAAGAUGACUAUGCGGCCUAUUAGCUAGAUGGUAAGGUAACGGCUUACCAAGGCAAUGAUAGGUAGGGGUCCUGAGAGGGGGAGC